CUAUUUAGAGGAAGUAAAAGUCGUAACAAGGUUUCCGUAGGUGAACCUGCGGAAGGAUCAUUAAUAUUUCCAACCCAUACAUCCAAAUAUCCAUUUGGAUGUUACACCCACUUUUUUUUAAAGCGAACUUGUUUGAGUGGUCAGGCAAGGGACAAUGAGAUGUUGUCACUUUCAACCUUCCUGAUCGCUUCUUUUUUUCACUUUUUUUUCCUUUCAAAACCCAAUGAAACUUUUUGACUGAAAUUCUCUCUUGAUCUAAAGAUCAGAGGGCGAAAAAAACAAACAAAUGAAAAAACAACUUUUAACAACGGAUAUCUUGGCUCUC
rnacentral:misc_RNA from 1 species